AUGAAUGAGAACUAUGACCUUGUAAGAUUCAACUCAAUAUUAGAAUAUGGUUCUGGUUUCUUCUCUCCUAAAUUCACAUCUAAUCAUCAGUCUAAAUCAGAUUAUUGUUUGAUUAUUAACAAUGUGGAGGAGACAGACUCAGCAGUGUAUUAUUGUAAGACACAUGAUGCUAAUGAAAUCGUUGUGAUAUUCGGACAAGGGACCAAGCUCAUUUUUACUGACUCUACCCUCCCUCCGCCUGUCUUGACCAUCCUCCCUCCGUCCAGUGAAGAGUUGAAGUCCAGCAAAGUCACCCUGGUGUGUCUGGCCAGUCAGAUGGCCAUGGGCUACGCUGAUGUCAGCUGGACAGCUGGAGGGAAUCCGGUCACCGGCGGCAUCGCUACGAGUGGCCCGGUACCGCAAGCCGACAAGACGUUCCAGCUCAGCAGCUGUCUGACCGUUGACACGUCAGAAUGGAACCAGGACAAAGUGUUCUCAUGUAAAGUCACCGCGGGAUCCAAGUUCGCUGAGAAAGGCAUCAAGAAGUCUGAAUGCAGCACUGAGUAGCCUGAGAUCCAUUGUAAUGUCAAUUUCAUUUUCUACAUCACUUCUCAAGAUAAUGUUAAUGCAUUAGAAGUUUAACCUACAUAUAUUCAUUAUGUUCCAUAAAAGAUAAAUAGCUAAUCACACUGAUAUAAUAGGCUACAUGAUAAGUAGACUUGUUAUAUUUGAAAUGGGUUGUUUUGCAGAUUUAUAAUAGAGGAAUAGUGAAAGCUUUGCUGUAUUGUGGAUAUUCAAUAAAGAACAUUCUAAAGAACACGUGUUUGUAUUAGAGCAUGUUGAUGAGCAUCAGUGUUAGCAGCUCUACAUGAGGGGGAAUUUAACUGAACUCAAAUAGAGCAGCCUGCUCACUGACUUUAGUCCAGAUCCAGAAAUAGUUGAUGUAGAUAUCCAGGAUGUAGGGCAGGUUUACUGUAAUGUUAAUGAAUAACCAGAGAUGG